rnacentral:tRNA from 1 species
CAGAGAAUAGUUUAAAUAAAAUAUUAAUUUUGGAGAUUAAAGAUAAAUUAAUUAAUUUUUCUCUGA